UAAAGGUUACUGAAGUAUAGAGGGUGAAUUCUGCCCAAUGGUUGUAUAGUGAAACUGAGGACUAACGUCUAAAGCGAAACCCAACUGAAUGGCCGCGGUAACUCUGACCGUGAUAAUGUAGCACAAUAAAUAGCCAAUUAAUUGUUGGCGGGUAUGAAUGGAACCACGAGGGUCUUACUGUCUCAAGAGGAAAGCCAAUGAAAUUAUAGUUGUAGUGAAGAUACUACAUAAACAUUGUAAGACGAAAAGACCCUAUCGAGCUUUACUGGAUACCUAUAGCGUUAACUUAAAAUGAUCUAUACUAAGUAUUCUAAUUUUGAGUUAAUAAAAUUUGUUGGUAGGACAGUUUAGUUGGGGCGACUACCUUUGAAUAAGAAACGAAGGCGAGCUUAUGGUAUACAAAGCUAAUCUCUUUAGCCUGACAGUGAGGGGGACACCCCUAGCUGGCACAAGGACUAGGUCCUAUGUGGGCGAUAAUGACCCGAUAUGAUUGUCCGAAAUAAAUAUCGAAAGCGGAUAAAAGCUACCGUAGGGAUAACAGCGUAAUAUUGUCGGAGAGUUCUUAUCGAGGACAGUGUUUGCGACCUCGAUGUUGAAUUGCGGUGCCCUGGUGCUGUAGAAGGUACCUUAGGUUGGUCUGUUCGACCAUG
rnacentral:rRNA from 1 species